GGAGAAAAUAUAGGGAACUCAGAA
rnacentral:snRNA from 1 species